CUUAGAGAUUUCAGCCAGGUGACUGCGGAGGCUGCUGGGGCACAUCGUUUCCCUGUCCUCUCGGUUCCCUGCGGCCGAAAGGCCUAGGAUCCGGGGAUCUGGCCUAGGCUUCCGCCGCGCCCCGCGGGGGCGGAAUGGCCGCGGAAGAGGACGAGGUGGAAUGGGUGGUGGAGAGCAUCGCGGGGUUCCUGCGGGGCCCGGACUGGUCCAUCCCCAUCUUGGACAUCGUGGAGCAGAAAUGUGAAGUUUUUGAUGAUGAAGAAGAGAACAAAUUGACCUAUACAGAGAUACAUCAGGAAUAUAAAGAACUAGUUGAAAAGCUGUUAGAAACUUACCUUAAAGAAAUUGGAAUUAAUGAAGAUCAGUUUCAAGAAGCAUGUACUUCUCCUCUUGCAAAGACUUGUACAUCACAGGUGUAUUACCUGACUGCUUAACAGAUGGUUCUGAUGUGGUCAGUGACCUUGAACAGGAAGAGAUGAAAAUCCUGAAAGAAGUUCUUAGAAAAUCAAAAGAGGAGUAUGACCAGGAGGAAGAAAGGAAGAGAAAAAAGCAGUUAUCAGAGGCCAAAACAGAAGAGCCUCCGAUGCAGGCCAAAGAAACGGCAGAAAUGAAUAAUUCCCAAGGGGAUGGUGAACAUUUUGCACACGCAGCAUCAGAAGUUAAAGUGCAUUUUGCUAAUCAAUCAGUCCAACCUUUGACAAGAAAGCUGGAAAUGUUACCUGAAACUUCUUGCCUCCCGCAAAAAGGCCUGAAGAUUCCUGGCUUCGAACAUGCAAGCAUGGAGGGACCAAUAGCAACUUUAUCAACACUUCGAACAGAAGCGCUCCGCCAGCGGGAACACUAUCUAAAACAGAAGAGAGAUAAGUUGAUGUCCAUGAGGAAGGACAUGAAGACUAAGCAGAAUCAAACUUCGGAGCAGAAAGGAAAACCUGCUGGGGAGGUGGAGGAAAUGGCAGAGAGACCAGAAAUGACAGCAGAGGAGAAACUAACAUUACUAAAGAGGAGCUUGCUUGCAGAGAAACUUAAAGAAGAACGUUUUAAUAAGUAAAUUUAAGAACAAUUUAGCAAGCAGUUAAAAAUUUCUUAAAAAUAAAUUAUUUAAUCCUUAAA